AGGGCGCAGGGCGGAUGCCUUGGCACUGAGAGCCGAUGAAAGACGUGAUAAGCUGCGAUAAGCUUCGGGGAGGAGCAAAUAUCCUUUGAUCCGGAGAUCUCUGAAUGGGGAAACCCGGCUGUAUGGACUACAGUCAUCCAUAAGUGAAUCCAUAGCUUAUGGAAGGGAACCCGGGGAACUGAAACAUCUAAGUACCCGGAGGAAGAGAAAGAAACAUCGAUUCCGUAAGUAGCGGCGAGCGAACGCGGAAGAGCCCAAACCGUGAUGCGUGCAUCGCGGGGUUCGGACUGCAUAAGGGAUUCAGUAACGGCAGGAGAACGGCUUUGGAACAGCCGGCCAGAGAGGGUGAGAGCCCCGUAUCCGAAGCCAGAGCUGACCCGGCAGGAUCCAGAGUACCACGGGACACGGGAAACCCUGUGGGAACGAGCGGAGACCACUCCGUAAGGCUAAAUACUACUCAGUGACCGAUAGCGUAUAGUACUGUGAAGGAAAGGUGAAAAGAACCCCGGGAGGGGAGUGAAAGAGAACCUGAAACCCUGUGUUUACAAGCAGAGGAAGCAAGAGAUUGCGACCUCGUACUUUUUGUAGAACGGACCGGCGAGUUACGUUAUGCAGCGAGGUUAAGAACUGAAGGUUCGGAGCCGAAGCGAAAGCGAGUCUGAAAAGGGCGAGGAGUUGCAUGACGUAGACCCGAAACCGGGCGACCUAUCCAUGGGCAGGUUGAAGUGAAGGUAAAGCUUCAUGGAGGACCGAACCAGACGUCCGCUGAAAAGGGCGGGGAUGACCUGUGGAUAGCGGAGAAAUUCCAAUCGAGCUCGGAUAUAGCUGGUUCUCCUCGAAAUAGCUUUAGGGCUAGCCUGAGGUUAGUCUGUCGGGGGUAGAGCACUGAAUGGGCUAGGGGGUCUCAAAGCUUACCGAACCCUAUCAAACUGCGAAUACCGAACAGAUGAUGCCUUGGAGUCAGACGGCGAGUUAUAAGAUCCGUCGUCAAAAGGGAAACAGCCCAGAUCGACAGCUAAGGUCCCGAAGUGUGUGUUAAGUGGGAAAGGAUGUGCAAUUGCAUAGACAACCAGGAUGUUGGCUUAGAAGCAGCCACACAUUCAAAGAGUGCGUAAUAGCUCACUGGUCGAGUGAUCCAGCGCCGAAAAUGUAACGGGGCUAAAACGCGACACCGAAGCAGCGGGAUGCGUAAGCAUCGGUAGAGGAGCAUUGUGUGAGGGUUGAAGCCAGAGCGAGAGCACUGGUGGACUUCACAGAAGAGAGAAUGCCGGUAUGAGUAGCGAGACCCAUGCGAGAAACAUGGGCGUCGAAGGCCCAAGGUUUCCUGGGGAAGGUUCAUCCACCCAGGGUAAGUCGGGACCUAAGCCGAGGACUGAGGUCGUAGGCGAUGGACAGCAGGUAGAGAUUCCUGCACCACUUACACUUGUUUGACGAAGCAGUGACACAGAAGGAUAGGACGAGCGCGGUGAUGGUCAACCGCGUAGGCGGCACGAGGCCGGGAAGCAGUGAAGUACACUUCCCGCAAAGGCUGAGUGUUGACAGGACCGAAAAGAAGUAGGGAAGCGUCCGAGUUCACGCUGGCGAGAAAAGCUGCUAAGGAGAGUGUGAGUGCCCGUACCGGAAACCGACGCAGGUGGGCGAGGAGAGAAUCCUGAGACGGACGGGAGAACUCUUGUUAAGGAACUCGGCAAAAUGACCCCGUAACUUCGGGAGAAGGGGUGCCUCGAAAGAGGCCGCAGAGAAUAGUCACAAGCGACUGUUUAGCAAAAACACAGGUAUCUGCGAAAGCGAGAGCUGACGUAUAGGUGCUGACACCUGCCCGGUGCUGGAAGGUUAAGGGAACAUGUUAGAGCAAUCGAAGCAUCGAACCGAAGCCCCAGUAAACGGCGGCCGUAACUAUAACGGUCCUAAGGUAGCGAAAUUCCUUGUCGGGUAAGUUCCGACCCGCACGAAUGGUGUAACGACUUGUGAGCUGUCUCAACAGGGGGCCCGGUGAAAUUGAAGUAUGGGUGAAGAUGCCCAUUACCCGCGACUGGACGGAAAGACCCCGUAGAGCUUUACUGCAGCCUGAUAUUGAGUUUCGGUAACUGAUGCACAGGAUAGGUGGGAGUCUGAGAGACAUGGGUUUCGGCUCAUGUGGAGACGGUGUUGGGAUACCACUCUUCGGUUACUGAAAUUCUAACAUAGCUCUGUGAAACCAGAGGAUGGACAGUGUCAGGUGGACAGUUUGACUGGGGCGGUCGCCUCCGAAAGAGUAACGGAGGCGCCCAAAGGUACCCUCAGAAUGGAUGGAAACCAUUCGAAGAGCGCAAAGGCAGAAGGGUGCCUGACUGCGAGAUUGACAAAUCGAGCAGAGACGAAAGUCGGGCUUAGUGAUCCGGCGGUAUUGAGUGGAAAAGCCGUCGCUUAACGGAUAAAAGCUACCUCGGGGAUAACAGGCUGAUCUCCCCCAAGAGUCCACAUCGACGGGGAGGUUUGGCA
rnacentral:rRNA from 1 species